UUUUUUUUUUUGGCACAUAUACUAAAAUUGGAAUAAUAUGGAGAAGAUUAGCAUGCCCCCUGGAUGACAGGCAAAUUCAUGAAAUUGUCCAUACUUUC
rnacentral:snRNA from 1 species